rnacentral:rRNA from 1 species
UACGUAGGGUGCAAGCGUUGUUCGGAAUCAUUGGGCGUAAAGCGCGUGUAGGCUGCUAGAUAAGUCGAUUGUGAAAUCCCUGGGCUCAACCGAGGAAGUGCAGUCGAAACUGCCUAGCUAGAAGACAGUAGAGGAAGGUGGAAUUCCAAGUGUAGAGGUGAAAUUCGUAGAUAUUUGGAGGAAUACCGGUGGCGAAGGCGGCCUUCUGGCCUGCUCUUGACGCUGAGACGCGAAAGCGUGGGUAGCAAACAGG